rnacentral:rRNA from 1 species
AUUGAACGCUGGCGGCAUGCCUUACACAUGCAAGUCGAACGGCAGCACGGGAGCAAUCCUGGUGGCGAGUGGCGAACGGGUGAGUAAUAUAUCGGAACGUGCCCAGUAGUGGGGGAUAGCCCGGCGAAAGCCGGAUUAAUACCGCAUGAGACCUGAGGGUGAAAGCGGGGGAUCGCAAGACCUCGCGCUAUUGGAGCGGCCGAUAUCAGAUUAGCUAGUUGGUGGGGUAAAGGCCUACCAAGGCAACGAUCUGUAGUUGGUCUGAGAGGACGACCAGCCACACUGGGACUGAGACACGGCCCAGACUCCUACGGGAGGCAGCAGUGGGGAAUUUUGGACAAUGGGCGCAAGCCUGAUCCAGCAAUGCCGCGUGCGGGAAGAAGGCCUCGGUUGUAACUGCUUUGUCAGGGAGAAAUCUUCUGGCUAAUAUCCCGGGAGGAUGACGGUACCUGAAGAAUAAGCACCGGCUAACUACGUGCCAGCAGCC